ACCUGGUUGGCUCAGUGGGUAGAGCAUCUGACUUUUGAUCUCAGAGUCAUGAGUUCAAGCCCCAUAUUAGUA
rnacentral:tRNA from 1 species